CCCUUAGAUGUUCUGGGCCGCACGCGUGCUACACUGAGUGGAUCAGCGGGUCAGGUUGCGCGAAAGUGUUUCCUAAUCUUGAAAUCCGCUCGUGAUGGGGAUUGACGGUUGCAAUUUUCCGUCAUGAACGAGGAAUACCUUGUAAGCGCGGGUCAUCAUCCCGCGCUGAAUACGUCCCUGCCCUUUGUACACACCGCCCGUCGCUCCUACCGAUUGAGUGGUCCGGUGAGGCUUUGGGAUCUGAGCAAAGAGAGCGUUUCGCUCGUUUUGCCCGGAAAACUCAGUCGAACCUUAUCAUUAAGAGGAAGGAGAAGUCGUAACA
rnacentral:rRNA from 1 species